AGUGAACGCUGGCGGUAGGCCUAACACAUGCAAGUCGAACGGCAGCGCAGUAAGAGCUUGCUCUUACGGGUGGCGAGUGGCGGACGGGUGAGGAAUACAUCGGAAUCUACUUUUUCGUGGGGGAUAACGUAGUGAAACUUACGCUAAUACCGCAUACGACCUACGGGUGAAAGCAGGGGAUCUUCGGACCUUGUGCGAUUGAAUGAGCCGAUGUCGGAUUAGCUAGUUGGCGGGGUAAAGGCCCACCAAGGCGACGAUCCGUAGCUGGUCUGAGAGGAUGAUCAGCCACACUGGAACUGAGACACGGUCCAGACUCCUACGGGAGGCAGCAGUGGGGAAUAUUGGACAAUGGGCGCAAGCCUGAUCCAGCCAUACCGCGUGGGUGAAGAAGGCCUUCGGGUUGUAAAGCCCUUUUGUUGGGAAAGAAAAGCAGCAGGUUAAUACCCCGCUGUUCUGACGGUACCCAAAGAAUAAGCACCGGCUAACUUCGUG
rnacentral:rRNA from 1 species